rnacentral:rRNA from 1 species
UUGAAAGGGAAACGAUUGAAGUCAGUCGUGCUGGCGCGAAAUCAACCUCUCGUCUCGAGAUCACAUGGCGCGACGAGCCUCAAACCGUCACGAAGCGUGAACUCGUGACGAAAAGGUGCACUUUCGUGUCCGCUGGUUAACAUCAAUUUCGAACGUCAUAAAAGGCUGGAGGGAUGUGGCUCCUUCGGGAGUGUUAUAACCUUUAGCGGAAUGUGGCGUUCGGGAUUGAGGAUUGCAACGAAUACCUUCAGGGCUGUUCCACCUGGCUUCUCAUUGGUAUCCUGGUGACGACAGCUUGCUGACGUCGUUAGGAUCAGCUUCUGAACAGGCUAGAGUGUGAGCAAAUUCGUUAAGGAUGUUGACGUA